AGAGUUUGAUCCUGGCUCAGGAUAAACGCUGGCGGCGUGCCUAACACAUGCAAGUCGAACGUCCUUGCGCAAGCAAGGGAGUGGCGGACGGGUGAGGAACACGUGGGGCAUCUACCUUCGGGUGAGGAAUACCGGCGAGAAAUCGCCGACAAGACCGCAUACGCUCUUUCGCAAGAGAGAGGAAAGCUUCUUUCGUAAGAGGGAGGCGCCAGAAGAGGACCCUGCGUCCGAUUAGUUGGUUGGUGGGGUAAUGGCCUACCAAGACGACGAUCGGUAGCUGGUCUGAGAGGACGAUCAGCCACACUGGGAUUGAGAACGGCCCAGACUCCUACGGGGGGCAGCAGUGAGGAAUUUUCGUCAAUGGGGGCAACCCUGAACGAGCAACGCCGCGUGCAGGAAGACGCUUUUCGGAGUGUAAACUGCCUUUCUCGGGGAAGAGAACGGACGGUACCCGAGGAAGAAGCCUCGGCUAACUACGUGCCAGCAGCCGCGGUAAUACGUAGGAGGCGAGCGUUGUCCGGAGUUACUGGGCGUAAAGCGCACGCAGGCGGUGCACCAAGUCUGGAGUGACAGCGCUCGGCUUAACCGAGCAGGGUCUUUGGAAACUGGUGGACUUGAGGGCUUCAGAGGAAUGCGGAACUCCGGGUGGAGUGGUGAAAUGCGUAGAUAUCCGGAAGAACACCAAAGGCGAAGGCAGCAUUCUGGGAAGUACCUGACGCUCAGGUGCGAAAGCCAGGGGAGCGAACGGGAUUAGAUACCCCGGUAGUCC
rnacentral:rRNA from 1 species